GUCGAGCGGUAGCACAGAGAGCUUGCUCUCGGGUGACGAGCGGCGGACGGGUGAGUAAUGUCUGGGAAACUGCCUGAUGGAGGGGGAUAACUACUGGAAACGGUAGCUAAUACCGCAUAAUGUCGCAAGACCAAAGUGGGGGACCUUCGGGCCUCAUGCCAUCAGAUGUGCCCAGAUGGGAUUAGCUAGUAGGUGGGGUAACGGCUCACCUAGGCGACGAUCCCUAGCUGGUCUGAGAGGAUGACCAGCCACACUGGAACUGAGACACGGUCCAGACUCCUACGGGAGGCAGCAGUGGGGAAUAUUGCACAAUGGGCGCAAGCCUGAUGCAGCCAUGCCGCGUGUGUGAAGAAGGCCUUCGGGUUGUAAAGCACUUUCAGCGGGGAGGAAGGCGAUAAGGUUAAUAACCUUGUCGAUUGACGUUACCCGCAGAAGAAGCACCGGCUAACUCCGUGCCAGCAGCCGCGGUAAUACGGAGGGUGCAAGCGUUAAUCGGAAUUACUGGGCGUAAAGCGCACGCAGGCGGUCUGUCAAGUCGGAUGUGAAAUCCCCGGGCUCAACCUGGGAACUGCAUUCGAAACUGGCAGGCUAGAGUCUUGUAGAGGGGGGUAGAAUUCCAGGUGUAGCGGUGAAAUGCGUAGAGAUCUGGAGGAAUACCGGUGGCGAAGGCGGCCCCCUGGACAAAGACUGACGCUCAGGUGCGAAAGCGUGGGGAGCAAACAGGAUUAGAUACCCUGGUAGUCCACGCCGUAAACGAUGUCGAUUUGGAGGUUGUGCCCUUGAGGCGUGGCUUCCGGAGCUAACGCGUUAAAUCGACCGCCUGGGGAGUACGGCCGCAAGGUUAAAACUCAAAUGAAUUGACGGGGGCCCGCACAAGCGGUGGAGCAUGUGGUUUAAUUCGAUGCAACGCGAAGAACCUUACCUGGUCUUGACAUCCACAGAACUUUCCAGAGAUGGAUUGGUGCCUUCGGGAACUGUGAGACAGGUGCUGCAUGGCUGUCGUCAGCUCGUGUUGUGAAAUGUUGGGUUAAGUCCCGCAACGAGCGCAACCCUUAUCCUUUGUUGCCAGCGGUCCGGCCGGGAACUCAAAGGAGACUGCCAGUGAUAAACUGGAGGAAGGUGGGGAUGACGUCAAGUCAUCAUGGCCCUUACGACCAGGGCUACACACGUGCUACAAUGGCAUAUACAAAGAGAAGCGACCUCGCGAGAGCAAGCGGACCUCAUAAAGUAUGUCGUAGUCCGGAUUGGAGUCUGCAACUCGACUCCAUGAAGUCGGAAUCGCUAGUAAUCGUAGAUCAGAAUGCUACGGUGAAUACGUUCCCGGGCCUUGUACACACCGCCCGUCACACCAUGGGAGUGGGUUGCAAAAGAAGUAGGUAGCUUAACCUUCGGGAGGGCGCUUACCACUUUGUGAUUCAUGAC
rnacentral:rRNA from 1 species